rnacentral:lncRNA from 1 species
UCAAAUCAAAGGAUUUUAAGUUCAAAUUCAAAUUCAAAUUCAAAAUCAAAAAAUUGGAGGGAAAGUACAUAGCUUGUGAAAGAGGUUACAAAUUACAUUCAAAAGGGUCCAAUUCACAUUUUGAACAUCCAAAAUUACAUUACAAAAUCCACGGUUACAAAUAUUACACACAAAAAUCACAUUUGACCUAAAGUUGACUUUUGGCAACUGUUGACUUUUGGUCAAACAGUUGACCAAAGUCAAACUGACUACCUGAGUCUAGUUUGGUCUUUAUCCUCAUUGAUUCUCCAUUUGUGUCUCCAAGUUCUUCAAUUGCUCCAUGUUCUUGAUGCAUUUCAAAACCUCUUUGUGAUUCAUGAGUCGAUGCCAAAACCUAACCUUCAAGAUGCCAUGCCAAAUCACCAUUAUGUUAUGUCAAACCAAGUUCACUUCAGCCCUGCACCAAUGAGAACUGUCAGCACACAUUCACAUGAUCAAUUAUGCUAUAUCAUGAUGCACCUCAACAUACACCUCAUGGUCACAUGCUAGCAAACCAAAACAUGCCAUUCAAUCCACAAACAUGAACACAUGCACAACAAAAUCCAACAACACACAAACACAUACAAAGCACUAAUUACUCAUGCCAUUAUGAUCCAAUUUGAUAAUAUACUUGUGCAUUCAUGACACAAACCAACCAUCCAACAUUCAUGCAUCCCAACAAGUUCAAUGGUAUACAUCAAAGUCUUAAUUAUAUCACAUUCAUAACUAACACAACAUUAAUCCGCUAACUCAGACAUUAACCUCACUAAUCAACCCAAACUGAUAUUUCUAACAUGAUUUAGCUCAUUAACAAUCAACAUAGCAGUUCAAGCAACCUAAAAUAUCCUAAUUGUUUUAACAUUUCUAACCAAAUUCUAACUUCCACUAUCCUAACUGAAUUUACUAGUUUCUAACUGAUUUAACUAAUUCUAACAGUUCACUAACAUAACAAAUAACCAUCUAACUAUUACAGUUAACAAAUCACUAACAGUUAACAAUCAUCAACUAACAUCAAAAUUGUUUUUUAUUACAUAUAUCACAUUUCAAACACAGACAAGUAAUAUCAACUAAUAGUAUAUAAUACCCUAACUAUUUUCCAAUGCUAACAUAAACUAACAAUUAUCAUCACUAACUCUUACGUUCAACUAACAGUCAAGCUAGCCUUCUGAUGAACAACUAACAUACAUAACCAAUCACAUGAUUCAACUAUUGACAGUUCAUUUCAAACCAAUCAAACUAACUAAUUUUUCAUCAUCGCAACUAACAUUUUCUCAAUCUCAUUAACAGUUCUCAUUAGCAAUUCACUAACACUCUUAGUUAUCACAAUUAACACGUUAACACAACAAUUCAACAUUCUUCAUAACAAAUAUCACCAACUCGAGCUGAACUUCCAACAUUUCCUACUAACUAUCACAAACUAAUCAAUUAACAUAACCAUAAUCUUCUACCUCCUAACUGAUUUUCCUAACACUCCUAACUAAUUCAAGCUAACCAUUAACUAAUUCAAUUCACAGUAUCACAGUGAAAAUUCCAUAAUAGUCCUAUUAACCAUAACUAACUAAUUACGAAACCAAUUCACUAACAAUUUAGUGAACCUAACCACUAACUAACCUAACCGCAAAAGUUUUAACUCAUUAACUGUCAAACUAAUAGUGUUAACUCACCCUAACUAACCUGCAAGCUAACAUUUAACUGACUCUAACAAUUGACCUAAACCUCUAACUUCCAUUGCCCUAGCUUCCCAAUUCAGUUAGCAUUGAAUCCCUAUAUAAGCUACACUCUCUUCAAUCUCCAGCAACAACAAUCACAUUCAACUUUCUGCAUAUUCUAUGAAUUCAUUAUAUCCCCUCACUUCAGAAAUUCACUCAAAGCUCUCCAUCCCUAGUUGUCAGAGCUUCAUCAAUGGAAGCUCUGAACAAUUGAGCUAAACCUUCUCUCUGCACUUUCCUCACUCAACAACAACAGCAAUACAACCAUUACUAUAGACUGUCCUGAAGAAGAAGAAGAAAGAAAAAUUUCAAGAAGCAAGAGUUUUGAAGCGCUUACCUGUUAAUAUCUCUGGGUAUCUCUCUUCCUCUGCAACCUCAUCUUCAAGUCCUUUAAUAAGUUUCAGGUUACGCAUUGACCUUGUAGGUAGGAUCUACUUUGUUCUUCCUUAUUUCGGUCCAAUUAUGUUACCAGGAUGUAGCAUUUGAGGAGGGGAAUCAAAGCCCCAAGGUCUCACGCUUUGAUUCCCCUCCUAUAUAAUUUAAUUUUUGUUUGUAUAACUAGGGUUCUUGGAGUAUUUUUUGUGGUUUGGCUGAUGUAGUGAGUUUUAAACGAAAUCAAGCUGAGAAAUAGAGAGAGGGGGUGAGAGGAAUCCAUAGGUGGUUUUAGGUUGUCGUUUUGGGUUGCUCUGCCGCCUCCGGUGCGGCGGAGCGAUUUCUGGCGAGGGUGAUAACAAUAGAGGGGAAAAGGUCUUGGUUGUGUUGAAGCUCAAAUGUUGAAUCUGAAUCUCCUCUCAAUCCUUUGCCUCUGGGUGUUGGGCUUCACUAACAUAAACCCAAAGGGCUUUGCUCCCAGAACCUCUCUUUUCUCUAAUUUACCCUCUCCUUCUAAAUUCAGCAAGGAAUAAUGGCAUGUAGGCUUAGCAAAAUGGGCCAUGCG